GGCUUUUUGGGCGUAGCCAAAAGCAGACUAAUGAAGCCAGUGCUCAACACAUUUGCUUCCGGCCGGCAGGCGGACAUUUAGCGGUGUCGAUGACGCUAGCAGUUUGUGGAUAAAUGGCCUCAACACACCGAGAGCGCCGCAGUAGAUCAACACCAAAUAGCUCCCGCUAUGUUCAUGCUUCGUCAAGGCUUUUGUGUUUCUCAUACUUGGAUGUUUUAAUCAUUAUACAGCGUAGGUUUUAUGCAUCCCGACAGACGAAGAUGUAGGAGUGUGGGAAUAUACAGUUUUGGGUGUCCUUUCUACUCCCACACCUGCUCUCACUGGCUGAGUGUCCGGAAUAUUACAGAGCUGCCAUUCAUCCAGACGCUCGCUGACAGUCUCUGGCUCUGCCCUGGGUCCAGAUGGAGAUCGAGGUGGAUAUGAGCUGCUGGUCAUCUGCAAUCGGUAGACGCUGUCUUCUGCCUGACCCCAUCCUGGGCCUGACCAGCUGACGCUUUCCCUGAAAGGGACAAGUGGGGGGUGGGGGGGGGUGGGGGGUUGGGGUGGCCACGGCGACGACAUCUGUACUCCAUCAUCUCCGCCUUCGUCCCGACGGCCACCACAUAAAGCAGUGGUCAAGAUGUUACCUGUAGGUUUUUUUUCUUUCUUUCUUUGCUUCGUUUGGGAGCAUCUGUGUGGGGUUUGGAUCUCAGGAGUGAUUGCACUUUGGUGGAUUGAAACCUGUGGAUGCGUUACGGCGGAGGGCGCUGCUCCUUGCAGGUGGUUGCAGUGGAGGUUACAGAAGAGUGGACGUCUGGGUUGAGAGUGUUGUUGGGAGGCAUGGCAGAGAGAGCUGUGGCGUCUUUGUUUCUCUGCAUAGGCCAUCUGGUUGUUUCAGUGUAUUUAUUGUUCCAGAGAUUAAUAUAUCUAUCCGGCUCGUCGUGCUUAUUCUAUCUGUAAUUAAUUCAGUGUUAUAUUGUCGUUUCUGUUUGCCCUAAUUAAUAGGACUGUGUCAAAAUAAGUCAAUCUUGAAUUAAUAAAUAAUGAAAUUAAAGUGAACAAUUAAUGACACAAAAUUGGCUGGUUGGAUUUUGUUGGUUGCGUUGGCACGUACACAAAAAAAACAUAUUCUCAUGCACACAGGCGUGCACGCC
ensembl:lncRNA